rnacentral:tRNA from 1 species
UCGGGUGUAGCCAAGCGGCAAGGCAGCGGGUUUUGAUCCCGUCAUCCUAGGUUCGAUCCCUAGCACCCGAA